rnacentral:rRNA from 1 species
GGCUCAGAUUGAACGCUGGCGGCAGGCCUAACACAUGCAAGUCGAGCGGUAGAGAGAAGCUUGCUUCUCUUGAGAGCGGCGGACGGGUGAGUAAUGCCUAGGAAUCUGCCUAGUGGUGGGGGAUAACGUUCGGAAACGGACGCUAAUACCGCAUACGUCCUACGAGAGAAAGCGGGGGAUCUUCGGACCUCGCGCCAUUAGAUGAGCCUAGGUCGGAUUAGCUAGUUGGUGAGGUAAUGGCUCACCAAGGCGACGAUCCGUAACUGGUCUGAGAGGAUGAUCAGUCACACUGGAACUGAGACACGGUCCAGACUCCUACGGGAGGCAGCAGUGGGGAAUAUUGGACAAUGGGCGAAAGCCUGAUCCAGCCAUGCCGCGUGUGUGAAGAAGGUCUUCGGAUUGUAAAGCACUUUAAGUUGGGAGGAAGGGCAGUAACCUAAUACGUUAUUGUUUUGACGUUACCGACAGAAUAAGCACCGGCUAACUUCGUG